rnacentral:tRNA from 1 species
GGUAAGGUGGCUCAGUGGUAGAGUGCUUGCCUUGCAUGCCUGAGGCCCUGGGUUUGAUUCCCCAGCACCA